GCUUUCAGGCUUCCUUUUUACACUUUCGGUACCGUAUUAUACCUCAUUUUAAAAACACUGUUCAUCUUUCUUCUCUAUUGAACAAAAUAGAAUAGAAGCAAGGCAGAGGCACUAGAAUGGCUCUGAUACCAAAUGAUAAAAUUUAAACAGGUAUCGAUCUAAACAUGCAAAUCAAUUUAAAUGACAUAUUCAGAUCAAACAGCGGAAACUAAAUAUUACGAGCGUACCUCCAGUCAUUGCAGAUCGAACGCGAAGCAACGCAUACACGAAUCCGAAGGCAACUUUGUUCUUUCAGACCCUUACUCAUUCUGAAUAGAUGAUGUAUUUUUCUGAAUAGAGAAGUAGGUUUGGUGAUACAAAGCUUAGAGCACCCCAUUUUAUUUAUAGAGUUUGCCCAUCACAGAGCUCAACCAAUUUGUUAUCAGAAUGUGGGCUUGAGGAUAGGGACGUGAGUUUGUUACUGAACGUUGCAGAGAUAAGGGUUGAACGUGGAAGGAAAAUGGACCAGAUUCAGAAAACAAAAUUCUCCAAAAAUUGCAAUGGGAAAAAAAUAAAAACAGAACGUGGAACGUGGGUCAUUCCAUCAUAAGACACUACAAAAGGAGUUCUUACCUAGCUUCUUAGAGUCUUAGUUAGGUUGUCAUGGUCUUUCCAUAACUAGAAGUGUUGUUGCUACCGCAGAAGUUGCUAGAGUUGAUGCAAAUUGUUCAACUUUCUAUUUGGUUCAUUGUUCCUUGGCAAUGUUCACUAUUGGUAAUGCCUUUUCUUUGUUAUUAAUAAAUCUAUGAAUGGUAACCUUUUUGCUAUUAGUUAUUCAUAUUUCCUGAAAUUUAAUGUCUUCGAUUGGCCAUCUAGUAUAGCAUUGUGGGGUCUGAAGCUCAAAAGCAAAAGUAUUUAUCUUCUUUGGCUCAAAUGAAAACUAUAGCAUGUUAGGCUUUGACUGAACCUGAUUAUGGAGGUGAUGCCAGUGCUUUGAAGACCACAGCGACAAAGCAUUCAUUUAUUGUGUAAAGUCCAAUGCGUUUGUUUGUUAAGUUCAACUGUUGGAGAAGAAGUUGCGACAUUCAUGAUGGACUUGAAGAGAAGGCUCGAGUUAAGUCCAAGCCUCCCGGACCCAAUGCUGAACCUGAACUACUCUUGUGCAUUGUCAUUGUUUGGAU